rnacentral:rRNA from 1 species
CCUACGGGAGGCAGCAGUAGGGAAUAUUGCUCAAUGGGGGAAACCCUGAAGCAGCAACGCCGCGUGGAGGAUGAAGGUUUUCGGAUUGUAAACUCCUUUUGUUAGAGAAGAUAAUGACGGUAUCUAACGAAUAAGCACCGGCUAACUCCGUGCCAGCAGCCGCGGUAAUACGGAGGGUGCAAGCGUUACUCGGAAUCACUGGGCGUAAAGAGCGCGUAGGCGGGAUAGCAAGUCAGAUGUGAAAUCCUAGGGCUUAACCAUAGAACUGCAUUUGAAACUGUUAUUCUAGAGUAUGGGAGAGGUAGGUGGAAUUCUUGGUGUAGGGGUAAAAUCCGUAGAGAUUCAGAGGAAUACUCAUUGCGAAGGCGACCUGCUAGAACAUAACUGACGCUGAUGCGCGAAAGCGUGGGGAGCAAACAGGAUUAGAUACCCCAGUAGUC